GGCUCCCGGCCGGUAGAGCGGGUCCGGGCGGGAACGGCCCAGGGGCGGACCCGUGCUCGGAGCCCUCUCGCCCCCCGAGGGCGCCCGGCUUGGCCCCACGAGCGGCGCCUGCGGAGCCGGUGCCUCUGGGCCCCGUCGGGGCGGGAAGCUGCGCGCACGGCGGGGCUGCGCGGCCGCUGCCCUGCCUGGUGCCCCGCCCGGUGCCCCGCUGCCCAGUCCCCGCUGCCCGACACGCCCUCUGCGGUGCCCCCUGCCUGGCCUCGCUGCCUUUCCCGAUGCCCCUGCCCGAGUCCGCUGCCCUCUGCUGCUCUGCCCGCCCCGGUGCCUGCUCCCGGCGCCCGUUGCCCUCCCGGCCCCCCCCUGCCCUCCCGCUGCUCUGCCCAGCUCUCCCUCCCCGGUCCCCGCUGCCUGGCCCGGUGCCCGAUCCCGGCUGCCCGUCCCGGUCCCGCUGCCGGUGCCCGCUGCCCUCACCGGUGCCGCGCCGGUCCCGCCGCCCUGCCGGUGCCCUCCCGCCCAUUCCGGGGCGCGGGCGGCCCUGCCGCCGUGUCCUGCAGGAACGAGCCACCUUAAGCGGUGCCGGGGGACGGCGGCGCUCGCCGGGCCGCGCCGGGAGGCAGCUUCCACCCGCGCCGGGGAGGCUGCUGCGCCCCGGCCGGCGCUCUCACUGACCUUCUCUUCCUGCCGCUCCAUUUCUUUAUUUUUUGUUAUUCGUUUCUCCCCCUGCUCCAGGACCCGUUCCCGUUUCCAGCCGCCCCGGCCCCCAUGGGGAGCACGCAGAGACCCCGGUGCCGUCGGGGAGAAGCGCCCUCGGGCCGCCGGCCUGGCGGGAGCGGGCUGCACCCCGCCUGAUCCGCGCGGGGCGCGGGGCGGCCUCGGCCCCCGGGCAGCACCCGCAGGAUGUACCCGCAGGGGCGGCACCCGACUCCCCUCCAGUCCGGGCAGCCCUUCAAGUUCUCGAUUUUGGAGAUCUGCGACCGGAUUAAGGAGGAAUUUCAGUUCCUGCAGGCUCAGUAUCACAGCCUGAAACUGGAAUGUGAGAAGCUGGUGAGUGAGAAGACUGAGAUGCAGAGACAUUAUGUGAUGUAUUAUGAAAUGUCCUAUGGGCUGAACAUUGAAAUGCACAAGCAGGCAGAGAUUGUCAAGAGACUGAGUGCCAUCUGUGCCCAGAUUAUACCCUUCCUGACACAGGAGCACCAGCAGCAGGUCCUGCAGGCGGUGGAGCGGGCCAAGCAGGUGACCAUGGGAGAACUCAACAGCAUCGUGGGGCAGCAGCAGCUUCAGCACCUCUCCCACCAUGCACCCCCCAUCCCGCUGACCCCCCACCCCUCCAGCAUGCAGCCAUCUAGCCUGACGGGGGUCGGCAGUACCUCAGGGCUCCUGGCCCUCUCAGGGGCACUCAUGGCGCAGUCACAGCUCGCUGCCAAGGAAGAUAGAGUGGUCCAGGAUGGGGAGAAUAGAGAGCACACCCCGAGCCAGAGUGUUUCUGCUUCCCCUUCGGAGAGCCUGCAGGAUGAGGAGCAGAUGGGCAGCACAGGGUUGAAGCGGAAACGGGAAGAAAAGGACUUGCCUGGGCAUUAUGACAGUGAUGGGGACAAGAGUGACUACAACCUUGUGGUGGAUGAGGAUCCGCCCUCGGAGCCUGGCAGCCCUGGCCGUGAGCCCAGUACCCGACUGCCCCCGAUCCGCCGGGACAUGCCUGAAAGCCCUGCCUCGCUCGCCUCCAGCCGCAGCACCACCCCUCUCAAGCCCAAGGACCAGAGUCCGAACCACCUCUCAGCCAGUGCUCCGGCCUCCAAGUGCGCCGGCUCCUCCCCACCCCAGGACUCCCUCACGUCCUGCCCCGGGCCCAGCUCAGCCUCCCAUCUCCGGCCACCUCCCGCCAAACUGCCUGCCACGGACACCAUCGCUCUCCGCAGCCCACUGAGUGUGUCCAGCCCCUACACAUCCUCCUUUGGAAUGGUGCCUCAUGCCACCCUCAACGGCGAGCUCUCAGUCCCCAGCAUGUAUAUGGGCAUCCAUCUCUCCCCGCAAGUCAGCAGCACUGUCAUGUAUGGACGGUCCCCAAUGGUGGCUUUUGAGUCUCACCCUCACCUGAGGGCUUCUUCAAUCUCCACCAUCCCUGGAGGGAAACCUGCCUACUCCUUCUAUGUCAGUGCCGACGGGCAGAUGCAGCCAGUGCCUUUCCCACCCGAUGCCCUCAUUGGCUCUGGCAUCCCCCGUCACGCACGGCAGCUCCACACCCUGACCCAUGGCGAGGUGGUCUGCGCUGUCACCAUCAGCAGCUCCACACAACAUGUCUACACAGGGGGCAAGGGCUGUGUGAAGGUGUGGGAUGUGGGACAGCCGGGCACCAAGACAGCCGUGGCACAGCUGGACUGCUUGAACCGGGACAACUACAUCCGCUCCUGCAAGCUGCUCCCUGACGGCCGCAGCCUCAUCGUCGGGGGAGAGGCCAGCACCCUGUCCAUCUGGGACCUGGCUGCCCCCACGCCCCGCAUCAAGGCUGAGCUCACCUCCUCCGCACCUGCCUGCUAUGCCCUGGCCAUCAGCCCCGAUGCCAAGGUCUGCUUCUCCUGCUGCAGUGAUGGCAACAUCGUGGUGUGGGACCUGCAGAACCAGACCCUGGUCAGGCAGUUUCAAGGUCACACAGAUGGUGCAAGCUGCAUCGAUAUCUCUAACUAUGGUACCAAGCUGUGGACAGGGGGCCUGGACAACACUGUGCGAUGCUGGGACCUGCGGGAAGGGCGUCAGCUGCAGCAGCAUGACUUCAGCUCGCAGAUCUUCUCCCUGGGGUACUGCCCCACGGGGGAGUGGCUUGCCGUUGGCAUGGAGAGCAGCAACGUGGAGAUCCUGCACGUGACCAAACCAGAGAAAUACCAGUUGCACCUCCACGAGAGCUGUGUCCUGUCCCUCAAGUUUGCCUCCUGCGGAAAAUGGUUUGUAAGCACUGGGAAGGACAACCUGCUGAAUGCCUGGCGGACACCCUAUGGAGCCAGCAUAUUCCAGUCCAAGGAGUCUUCAUCAGUGCUGAGCUGUGACAUCUCAAUCAACGACAAGUUCAUCGUUACGGGCUCCGGUGACAAGAAAGCCACGGUGUAUGAAGUGGUGUACUGAGGACCCCUGACUAUCGCCAUUCAUCAAUGAAGGAGCCAGACUUCGCCAAUGCCACUUCAGCCUAGCAGAGCUGCUCCUGCUGCUGGCAGAGGCAUCCUCGUUCAGUGCAUAGCAGCAGCUGGCUGUGGUAGUGGAGCUGUUUUCAUCUGCAGGCCUACUGUUAUGCACUCAUUCCCCCUGCCUUUCCCCUACCCCCCCCCCCGCCUUUCUUUCCUAUCAGCUGUUAAAAAAAAGGCGGGGGGGGGGGAACUUACACAUCUUUCUACCCCUUUCUCAGAUUUCUGCCUUAGAGCAGAGUAGGGAGAGAGUAAACUAGAAGAUCCUGGGCUUCAGGAGCUCUUUAUGGGCAUCUCAGUCAUGGGACUGUCCCUCAGUCCUAGAGGCACCGAGGAGAAGUGAUGAGACAGACACAGCCAUCAGUGACUGAGAAAGGCCAGGGCCUAGUGUUUCGAGUGUUUCUCUCAGGUUACUGCUACUGAGUUAAUGACACCAAUUUUCUGCUGCAACAACAGCUGUAAAUUCUUAUCAGUAAAGAAAUGUAUUUAGCAGUAUUUCCAAUCCCUUACUAAUAAAAAGGUGCAAAAGA